rnacentral:lncRNA from 1 species
UGUGUUUCUAGGUAUUUCUCUGAGUCCAGAGCAGGCCCCAAGUCCAGCUAGCCCUGCCCAGGAGGAACUGAAUCAAAGGCAGACACCUGAGCAGCAGCAAGAGGAAGCAACCAUGAUUCCACCUGAGCCAGGCACUGGGAUUCCAGCAAGCACCAGCCCUUUAUCACUUAAACAGGAGGAAGAAUCUGCAGAGGGAGGAGAGUUGCCACCCUCCCCUUCCACAGAUAGCCUGCUUUCUGUGGAGCCAGGAUCUUGCCAUCUGUCUCAGAAUGAACUCAUGGACCUAGAUGAGGGAGGGGAGUGACUUGCCUGUAUGUCACCCAUCCCAAACAAAUCCACCAAGGUGUGUGCUGCAGGACUCUAUGCAGGGUCCCUGGCCCCUGGCUUUUGCAGCUUGCUUCCUUCUCUGGUGUUCUUAGCUCAGCUUCCAGGAAUGAGGCAUAAGACAGCAAGCAAAGUUGAACAAUACAUGAGACACUCCUGCCCCGUGGUGUCUAUGACUAGGACCCCUGGCCUGAUCUAAUGGCACUCACAAAGACUGGGGAAGGGAGGGGAGGCCUGAACCUGGAGUAAGGCCUGGAUCGAAUGGCAGGGGAAGCCAUGAGGUCCCCUUGGAACCAGCAAUGAUUCCUAUGACCAUCAAGACAGAAGCCCCAUCUGAGGAUCAACCUGAGCAGAACCUUCUGCAGUCCUGCAGCCAGUCCGUAUUUAGAGUCCACAGAAGGACCAGGAUUAAGACCAGGGGCCACAGAUGGCAUCACACGGAUUGGGGAACCUCAGGCAGCAGAGGAUAUGGGAGAGCCACCCUGUAUCCUUCCUCAGCCACAGAAGCAGGCAUUCCUGUGCCCUGACUGUGGGCAGAGCUUCUGCUUGAAGAUUAAUCUGACAAUCCA